rnacentral:lncRNA from 1 species
UAGAUUCUAUCAUAGUUCUUCCUAUAUCCACAUCAUUUAUGACGAAUGGAAGAGUCAACCACCCUGGAUCCUUCAUUUUAGGUGGAUGAUGUUUCUUUCUCGACUGCACAAGCAGUUCCUGUUCUUCUUCAUCUUUAUCUAAAUCUAUCACCUCUCCAAGAUAAUACUUAAUUUUCUUAGAGUAAACAGGAAUUUGAGGAUGAUUUUCAUUUAAAGGAACAAUAGUCACCUGAUUAAAAAUUUCUCUAAUAUGCCCAUUGUGACCAUCUCUUCUUUCCUCAUUUUCUCUCUCAUUUUUAUCAAACCUCUCCUCUUUUUUAUCUUCUUCACCAUUCUUAAUCUCAUCACUCCCACUCAUCUCUUCAUCUUCCUCCUCACUACUUUCUAUCUCAAUAACUUCCUCCUCUGCUUUUCUUUUCUCCCUUGUUACAACAACAUGACACUCCUCCUUAGGAUUAACAUCAGUAUUAACCCUGAGUUGAUUCUUUUAUGUGGUCUCAACCCUUUUUGACAGUUGACCAAGUUGCA